GGUCCCUUAGCUCAGUUGGUUAGAGCGUGGUGCUAAUACGCAAAGAGAAAUCGAUUCUCGCACGAUUCGCUUCGUGCGCGAGACACGCCAAGGUCAUCGGUUCGACCCCGGUAGGGACCA
rfam:Ostreococcus tauri, RCC4221, WGS project CAID01000000 data, contig: 17, chromosome: 17